rnacentral:misc_RNA from 1 species
UCAAUUAGGCCUACUCCGAGCGCGUAAUGAGUGAUCUAUGUUAGUUUGAUUGACAUAAAGCUACGAUAUAUAAUUGCUGGAAAUAUCGAAAAUUUUGAGAUUAGCAGUUUGGCAGCACAAUGCCAUAUGUAGACUGCGACUGUGAGAUAACUGUUGGCGAUAUUAAUCACCUACCUGGUCCCAUUAAUGAAAAACGCAAUCAAGAAUAUAAGGAUAAAGCCAUAGAAACAAUUUUAUCAACACGGUCAAGCACUCUUCGGAAUGCAGAAAUUGUAAUUUCGUUAAAAGACGACCAAGAAGAGUACGUACUAUAUGCAGGUGGCAGAGCUAAUAAAUUUGCCAUUUUUUAUCAAAAUUCUGAAGUGGUAUCUUAUCAAAGAGAAAAAAGUUGGUGGUUAACUCUCAGGGAAACAGCUUCCAGUGUCUUUUCAUGGUUUAAAGACAACGCCGUUCCAAUCGGGGGCCCAUUAAUGUUCUUCUUUGCAAAAAAAGCAAUUGGCUACAAAUAACAUGUAAAUGACAAUCAUUUACAAAGUCAUGCACUAUAAUCAUAGUUCAUAUGUUUUAAUGCACAUAAUUCAUUUAUCGAUAAGGGUAUAAAAUACUUUGAUGAAAAUCAUGAAAGAUAGACAAUAAUCAUAAUAAUAAUAAUAAUAAUAAUAAUAAUAAUAAUAAUAAUAAUAAUAAUAAUAAUAAUAAUAAUGGUGAUAAUGAUAAUAACUGUAAUAAUGAUAAAAAUUUUAAUUGUGGUUAUUAUUAUUAUUAUUGUUAUUAUUAAAAACAAUAAUAAAAUAAUAAUAAUUAUAACAAUUGUAUGAUUUUUCCUCUUGAGUGUGUGGAACCCUAACAUUUUUUGUUCUCUUUUUUUGUUUUUCAUUAUCUUUAAAUAUUGUAGGCCUUCUAUAAUUUAAAAUUUUUCUGAAAAUGAAUGAAAUGAAUGAAAUGAAUGAAAUGAAUGAAAUGAAUGAAAUGAAUGAAAUGAAUGAAAUGAAUGAAAUGAAUGAAAUGAAUGAAAUGAAUGAAAUGAAUGAAAUGAAUGAAAUGAAAUAUCGCAUUAAAACAAAAAAGCAAUGAGGAAAAGACAAUUAACAGAAGUCAAAAGGACCAUUGGAACAACCACUCCGAUUGUCUGCAAUAUGAUACACACUUGAGGCCUCGCUAUUUAGCCCCCUCAUUCAUUAAUAGAAUUUAAUUUUGCUUUCGGUGGUAAAGAAAACGGUCCUUCAAACGACGAUAGCAAUAAUAGGUAUAAAGGAUAACACUAGCAAUAGAGAUAGAGUAUAAGUCUAGGGUGAAAUAUAAAUUUAUUUUAGCGAUUAUUGUAAGUUGAUCGAUAUAAUUUGCAGCAAUAAAAUGUUUUAUUUACUUUGAUUGUCCAUAA